GUGUCCAGUGAUGAUCUUAAUGCCGCCCCAGUCUGAAUCUGAUGAUUGACUGGUUUUUAAAUUCUGAGGGACACUG